rnacentral:rRNA from 1 species
GACGAACGCUGGCGGCGUGCUUAACACAUGCAAGUCGAACGGAAAGGCCCUGCUUUUGUGGGGUGCUCGAGUGGCGAACGGGUGAGUAACACGUGAGUAACCUGCCCUUGACUUUGGGAUAACUUCAGGAAACUGGGGCUAAUACCGGAUAGGAGCUCCUGCUGCAUGGUGGGGGUUGGAAAGUUUAGGCGGUUGGGGAUGGACUCGCGGCUUAUCAGCUUGUUGGUGGGGUAGUGGCUUACCAAGGCUUUGACGGGUAGCCGGCCUGAGAGGGUGACCGGCCACAUUGGGCCUGAGAUACGGCCCAGACGCCUACAGGGGGCAGCAGUGGGGAGUAUUGCACAAUGGGCGGGAGCCUGAUGCGGCAGCGCCGCGUGCGGGAUGACGGCCUUCGGGUUGUGAACCGCUUUCGCCUGUGACGAAGCGUGAGUGACGGUAAUGAGUAAAGAAGCACCGGCUAACUACGUG